GGCUCAGUGGUCUAGAGGUAUGAUUUGUCGUUCGGGUCGACGAGGUCCCGGGUUCAAUUCCCGGCUGAGCCC
rnacentral:tRNA from 7 species